rnacentral:rRNA from 1 species
GGGCCCGCACAAGCGGUGGAGUAUGUGGUUUAAUUCGAUGCAACGCGAAGAACCUUACCAGGGUUUGACAUCCUGCGAAUCUCUUGGAAACGAGAGAGUGCCUUCGGGAACGCAGUGACAGGUGGUGCAUGGCUGUCGUCAGCUCGUGUCGUGAGAUGUUGGGUUAAGUCCCGCAACGAGCGCAACCCACGUCGUUAGUUGCCAGCAUUUAGUUGGGCACUCUAGCGAGACCGCCGGUGAUAAACCGGAGGAAGGUGUGGAUGACGUCAAGUCAUCAUGCCCCUUACAUCCUGGGCUACACACGUACUACAAUGGCGCAUACAGAGGGCGGCCAACUUGCGAAAGUGAG